rnacentral:rRNA from 1 species
CCCUUAGACGUUCUGGGCCGCACGCGCGCUACACUGACCAGUGCAACAAGCAUCCGUCCUUGGCCGACAGGCCCGGGCAAUCUUUGAACGCUGGUCGUGAUGGGGAUAGACUUUUGCAAUUUUUGGUCUUCAACGAGGAAUUCCUAGUAAACGCAAGUCAUCAACUUGCAUUGAUUACGUCCCUGCCCUUUGUACACACCGCCCGUCGCACCUACCGAUUGAAUGGUCCGGUGAAGCCUCCGGAUUGGCGCGCACCUCGGUGCCGCCGAGAAGUUGGCUAAACCUUNCNAUUUAGNGGAAGGAGAANUCGUANCA